UACGUAGGGGGCAAGCGUUGUCCGGAUUUAUUGGGCGUAAAGAGCUCGUAGGCGGUUUGGUAAGUCUGGUGUGAAAUCUCCACGCUCAACGUGGAGGGGCCACCCGAUACUGCCAUGACUGGAGUCCGGUAGAGGAGUGUGGAAUUCCCGGUGUAGCGGUGAAAUGCGCAGAUAUCGGGAGGAACACCCGUAGCGAAGGCGGCUCUCUGGGACGGUACUGACGCUGAGACGCGAAAGCGUGGGGAGCAAACGGG
rnacentral:rRNA from 1 species